rnacentral:rRNA from 1 species
CACGCCGCGGUAAUACAGAGGGUGCGAGCGUUAAUCGGAUUUACUGGGCGUAAAGCGUGCGUAGGCGGCUUCUUAAGUCGGAUGUGAAAUCCCUGAGCUUAACUUAGGAAUUGCAUUCGAUACUGGGAAGCUAGAGUAUGGGAGAGGAUGGUAGAAUUCCAGGUGUAGCGGUGAAAUGCGUAGAGAUCUGGAGGAAUACCGAUGGCGAAGGCAGCCAUCUGGCCUAAUACUGACGCUGAGGUACGAAAGCAUGGGGAGCAAACAGGAUUAGAUACCCCAGUAGUCCCUGUCUCUUAUACAC